UGGGGAAUUUUGCGCAAUGGGGGAAACCCUGACGCAGCGACGCCGCGUGGAGGAUGACGGCCUUCGGGUUGUAAACUCCUGUCAGAAGGGACGAAAUCCCGCAAGGGACUGACGGUACCUUCAGAGGAAGCCCCGGCUAACUACGUGCCAGCAGCCGCGGUAAUACGUAGGGGGCAAGCGUUGCUCGGAAUUACUGGGCGUAAAGGGUGAGUAGGCGGUCGGGCAAGUCAAGGAUGAAAUCCCGAGGCUCAACUUCGGAAUUGUUCUUGAGACUGCUCGGCUGGAGGGUAGUUGAGGGGAGUGGAAUUCCCGGUGUAGCGGUGAAAUGCGUAGAGAUCGGGAGGAACACCUGAGGCGAAGGCGGCUCUCUAAGCUACUCCUGACGCUGAAUCACGAAAGCUAGGGGAGCAAACG
rnacentral:rRNA from 1 species